UCUGGCAAUUGGAAUGAGAACAAUUUAAAUCCCUUAUCGAGUAUCAAUUGGAGGGCAAGUCUGGUGCCAGCAGCCGCGGUAAUUCCAGCUCCAAUAGCGUAUAUUAAAGUUGUUGCAGUUAAAAAGCUCGUAGUUGGAUUUCUGGCAGGAGCGUCCGGUCUCACACUCAGUGCGGGAACUUGGAUGUCUCUGGCCAUCUUUGGGGAUAUCCUGUUUGGCAUUAAGUUGUCGGGCAGGGGAUACCCAUCGUUUACUGUGAAAAAAUUAGAGUGUUUAAAGCAGGCUUAUGCCGUUGAAUAUAUUAGCAUGGAAUAAUAAUAUAGGACCUUGGUACUAUUUUGUUGGUUUGCGCACUAAGGUAAUGAUUAAGAGGGACAGUUGGGGGUAUUCGUAUUUCAUUGUCAGAGGUGAAAUUCUUGGAUUUCUGAAAGACGAACUACUGCGAAAGCAUUUACCAAGGAUGUUUUCAUUAAUCAAGAACGAAAGUUAGGGGAUCGAAG
rnacentral:rRNA from 1 species